UGUUACAUGAAGGAAAGGGCUGCACAUGU
rnacentral:piRNA from 1 species